CCUCUCUACCCAAGGGUAGGGGUAAGGUCUGCGUACACACUACCCUCCCCAGACCCCACUAAGUGGGAUUAUACUGGGUUGUUAUUGUUGUUGUAUUUACUGGUCGUGGGAUAGUUACCUAAUUCUACUUUCGGGGUGUCUUCUUCCCUUGGUGCAUUUAGUAUUUUUUUACUAAGUUUCAUAUUCAUUUUGCAAUGCAUGUUCCAGCUGAAUCUUUCUUACAGGUCAUUGUCUCUUUAUGCUCUUUGAAUGUCUCUGAAAUUGAUAAAAAGAAUAUUGUAAAUGAUUUGUAUUAAUCAAUCAACCUAUGACGUUACUACCGUACUACUGGAUUUUGUAUUACAAAAGGUGUCAAGUAUUGGAAUUAAACUAACAGAUUCUAGAGACUAAAUAAAAGUAGUCCUGUUAGAACAUUACGCAGAAAGUGAGAGAAGUUCAACAAAUAUAAGAUAAACAAACAUUUACAUAAACGAAUGACUCCUCAAAUUGAAGAGGACUACUAUACAUGUACUGAUGUACACGAUCUCAGGAUUACGCUCAGUGUGUUGUUUCCCUCACUAAUAUGUUCUUCCAUAAAUCCAUUUUUAUGUCAAGCGUAGUAAUAUAUCCUCAUUGAAGGACUUUAAAUUUGAGAUUAUUUCGAGGAUUUGUAAAGUAAAAUUCGUACUUGAAAGGGACCCUUGGAGUAAAUGUAAAGUUGCCUUUGUAUGACCUAUAGGUUGUGGGUUCGAGUUGUGAAAUGAACCAUUGAUACUUGUAUCAGGAUAGGGUGCUUACAUCACACUCCCUUAGGAUGCGGCUUUUCCUCAGACUCUGCAUGAAUGCAAGAUGUUUCGUGCAUCGAGCUGUCCUUUUUUUAGAUGCAAAAUACGUACUUGAUCGAUCACUAAAUCAAAUUUCUGCAAAGUUUAGAACACAGAUGAAUACUACACGGACAAAUAAAUCAAAACAAUUGAAAAGGAUAGAACUACAUAAUUUAGAGUCUUUAUGCAUAUUGAAGCAUUUGUAAAGAAAAGUGAGUAUUCACACGUACAUAAACAAAAGAUAAAUAGCGCAUCAUCUUGUAACUCCGAAGUUAGCAAAAAAGGUACUUUAAUAUAAUUAAAUGUAAAGAAACUUCUGUAUUAACUUUAACUCAUAAACAGUACAACAGAGUGUUUUAGUUCUUUUAACCAAAUCAUAGCUGAGAUCGAAUGAAAGAUGUGUAAAUAUCACAUGCACGGUUGAAGUACUUAGGAUUAUUGAGGACAUGGCCCUUGACAGGGAACUGUGGAGGUCGAGUAUUAAGGUUAUAGGUUAGGGAAAGUUGUUGAUAUUUAUACAAUGCAAUAGAGUGAGACUAGACAGUUAGGACUUAGUCAUAGGAUGUUACUGCUCAGAUACUGACGCAGGGCGUGAUCGGGUAGAUAUUAUUAUACCUUGCAUCCUUUCCGUAUUUUCUUAGAUUUCAUAUAUUGCUGUUAGUUGUGUUACUUUAUGUUAUGUAUAUUAUUUUAUGUUAUUGUAUUAUGAGUUUAUUGAUAGUGCUAAUAUAUCUCCUCUUGUUUCUUUCUUGAGCCGAGGGUCUCCUGGAAACAGCCUCUCUGCCCCUCGGGGUAGGGGUAAGGUCUGCAUAUAUAUUACCCUCCCCAGACCCUACUUGUGAGAUCAUAUUAUGAGUUUAUUGAUAGUACUAAUAUAUCUUCUCUUGUUGCUUUCUUGAGCCGAGGGUCUCCUGGAAACAGCCUCUCUGCCCCUCGGGAUAGAGGUAAGGUCUGCGUACAUAUUAC
rnacentral:lncRNA from 1 species